UGACUUCUGAGGAUCACCUUUGGAAGGCUUGGUGUUACGAACAUUGGGAUAAGAAUUUUACAAAACAUCAAAAAGGACCUCUUUCAAAUCAUCAGCAC
rnacentral:lncRNA from 1 species